rnacentral:misc_RNA from 1 species
AAGUCGUAACAAGGUUUCCGUAGGUGAACCUGCGGAAGGAUCAUUAGAAAUUUUUUAUGUAUUCAAAAUUUCAAUCUAUAAAAAAUUUUUUAUUUAUAUAAAAAAAAAAAGACAACUUUCAACAACGGAUCUCUUGGCUCUU